AUGUGUAGUGAGCAAUCAUAUCUCAACUUGAUGAAUGAGUCCAUCGGCAUAGACGGCAAUUCAUUGUCCAAUCCAUUUGAAUGUGCGGAUAAUGUUAUCGUUGAUGUCGCCCCUACAACAAAGAAGAAAUGGGUAAGGUCGACCAACUACUCAACAAAGUAGGAUAUAACAUUAAUCAUGGUGUGGGAGAGUUUAAGCAUUCAUCUGGUAGUAGGGAGCGAUCAAAACAAGAGGAGUUAUGGGAAGCGCAUUGCGCUAUCAUUGAAAUGUGAAAGUACCCUCCGAUCGCUCAAUCAAUUCAGGCAAUCAUCAACAGAGCUUGAUUCAAAAGUGUUGCAAUCGAUUGGCAGGUUAUGUCGCCCAAGUUGA
rnacentral:rRNA from 1 species